rnacentral:rRNA from 1 species
UACGAAGGGGGCUAGCGUUGCUCGGAAUCACUGGGCGUAAAGCGCACGUAGGCGGCUUUCUAAGUCAGGGGUGAAAUCCUGGAGCUCAACUCCAGAACUGCCUUCGAUACUGGAAGACUUGAGUCCGGGAGAGGUGAGUGGAACUGCGAGUGUAGAGGUGAAAUUCGUAGAUAUUCGCAAGAACACCAGUGGCGAAGGCGGCUCACUGGCCCGGUACUGACGCUGAUGCACGAAAGCUGGGGGAGCAAACAGG